rnacentral:rRNA from 1 species
AACAUCUAAGUACCCCGAGGAAAAGAAAUCAACCGAGAUUCCGAAAGUAGCGGCGAGCGAAAUUGGACUAGCCCUUAAGCUUUACACGCGUUAGACGAACGGUCUGGAAAGUCCGACGAUACAGGGUGAUAGUCCCGUAGUUGACGACGUGUGUUCAGUGAAAUCGAGUAGGGCGGGACACGUGAUAUCCUGUCUGAAUAUGGGGGGACCAUCCUCCAAGGCUAAAUACUACUGACUGACCGAUAGUGAACCAGUACCGUGAGGGAAAGGCGAAAAGAACCCCUGUGAGGGGAGUGAAAUAGAACCUGAAACCGUGUACGUACAAGCAGUAGGAGCACCUUCGUGGUGUGACUGCGUACCUUUUGUAUAAUGGGUCAGCGACUUAUAUUCAGUGGCAAGGUUAACCAUCUAGGGGAGCCGUAGGGAAACCGAGUCUUAACUGGGCGUUCAGUCUCUGGAUAUAGACCCGAAACCAGGUGAUCUAGCCAUGGGCAGGUUGAAGGUUGAGUAACAUCAACUGGAGGACCGAACCGACUAAUGUUGAAAAAUUAGCGGAUGACUUGUGGCUAGGGGUGAAAGGCCAAUCAAACCUGGAGAUAGCUGGUUCUCCCCGAAAGCUAUUUAGGUAGCGCCUCGGACGAAUACUACUGGGGGUAGAGCACUGUUAAGGCUAGGGGGUCAUCCCGACUUACCAACCCUUUGCAAACUCCGAAUACCAGUAAGUACUAUCCGGGAGACACACGGCGGGUGCUAACGUCCGUCGUGGAGAGGGAAACAACCCAGACCGCCAGCUAAGGUCCCAAAUUACUACUAAGUGGGAAACGAUGUGGGAAGGCUCAGACAGCCAGGAUGUUGGCUUAGAAGCAGCCAUCAUUUAAAGAAAGCGUAAUAGCUCACUGGUCGAGUCGGCCUGCGCGGAAGAUGUAACGGGGCUAAGUAGUAAACCGAAGCUGCGGCAAUAUACUUUUGUAUAUUGGGUAGGGGAGCGUUCUGUAAGCGGUUGAAGGUGUGUGGUAACGCAUGCUGGACGUAUCAGAAGUGCGAAUGCUGACAUGAGUAACGAUAAAGGGGGUGAAAAACCUCCUCGCCGGAAGACCAAGGGUUCCUGUCCAACGUUAAUCGGGGCAGGGUAAGUCGACCCCUAAGGCGAGGCCGAAAGGCGUAGUCGAUGGGAAACGGGUUAAUAUUCCCGUACUUCUUACAAUUGCGAUGGGGGGACGGAGAAGGCUAGGUGGGCCUGGCGACGGUUGUCCAGGUUCAAGUGCGUAGGCUUAAGAGUUAGGUAAAUCCGGCUCUUUUUAA